AUUGGGACCACUUCUUUUCACAUUAUAUGUUAAUGAUUUGCAUGACAGAAUUGAUGACUUUAUGACCAAGUUUGCAGAGCAGACUUGAUGGGCUAAGUGGCCUAAUUCUGCUCCUAUGUCUUACAGUCUUAUGGACAAAUAUUUCAUCUACUGUGGGGGCUGGAGGUAUUGUCUGGGUUAAGAUAGGGAUGAGUGGACCAGGGAGUCCAUUCAUCCCUCCACACUCUGUGGAAUCACUUUCAAGAAUUCUAUAAUUCAUGUUGGCAGAUUUAUUCAUUUAUUUAUUCGAUUACUUAUUCAUUCAUCCACUCAUUCAUCUAUUUAUUUAUUAAUUCAUUUAUCUAUUCAUCUAUUUAUUUGUUUAUCUAUUCUUUGUUUCUUCUGUAUUUGCGCAGGUUAUCUUCUUUACCUUUGUAAUUUGUCACUUUUUGUUUAUUGAACCUUAGAAACAAAUCCAUUAAAAGUCUAUGUUAAAAUUGUUUUACUUUCCCUUAAUUAAUGAGGGUUCAAUAUGUUUUGCUGGGGUUCAGGGUGUUCCACUGAACCUGCCAAGUGACUGUCUCUGAGCCAGUUCACUGUGCCAUAUUUAUUAACUAUAAGAAUCAAUGGGAAGGAUAUGGUGGAACGACUAGAGUUCUCUAACAACGCUGGUUUGAUCCUAAACUCUGGAAAUAUUUGAGUGGAGAUUGUUGUUUUCCCCUGUGACUGCCGGAUUCCUUAGGGUGUUCAAUUUCCUCCCUCAUCCCAUUUCUUUGGCCAUUAGUGUGUAGGUGUGUACUAGAUUAGACCAUAAGAGAUAGGAGCAGAAUUAGGCCAUUCAAUCCAUCAAGUCUGCUCCACCAUUUCAUCAUGGCUGAUCCUGGAUCCCCUUCAGCCCCAUACACCUGCCUUCUCGUCAUGUGCUUUGAUGCCCCGAUCAAUCAGGAAUCUAUCAAAUUCCACCUUGAAUAUACCCUCGGACUUGGUUUCCACUGCAGUCUGUGGCAGAGCAUUCCACAGAUUCACCACUCUUUGGCUAAAAGAAAUCAUCCUUACUUCUGCUGUAAAAGUGGACUUGGUGAUGUGUAAUGAACAGGAAUUGAUAAGUGAUCUUGAAGUAAAGGAGCCAUUAGGAAGUAGUGAUCAUAACAUGAUAAGUUUUUAUCUACAAUUUGAGAGGGAUAAGGGCAGAUCAGUGUUGCAAUUAAAUAAAGGAGACUACGGAGCCAUGAGGGAAGAGCUGGCCAAAGUUAAAUGGGCGGAUGCCCUGGCAGGAAAGACAGUGGAUCAGCAGUGGCAGAUAUUCUUGGGGAUAAUACAAAAGAUGCAAAAGCAGUUCAUUCCAAUGAGAAGGAAGGAUUCAAAGAGGGGGAAGGGGCCACAGUGGUUGACAAAGGAAGUCAGAGAUUGUAUAGCAUUAAAGAAAAAGAAGUAUGACAGGGCUAAGAUGAGUGGGAAUACAGAUGAUUGGGAAAGUUUUAAGGAACAGCAUAUCUUAACUAAAAAAGCAAUAUGGAGAGAAAAAAUCAGGUAUGAGCUCAGUCUAGCCAGGAAUAUAAAAGGGUUUAGCAAAAGCUUUUUUUAGCUAUGUGAAGAGAAAGAAGAUAGUUAAGAACAAUGUUGGCCCCUUGAAGAAUGAAUUGGGAGAAAUUGUUAUGGGAAACAGAGAAAUGGCAACAGAAUCUAAUGCGUACUUUAGAUCUGUCUUCACCAGGGAGGACACAAGCAAUCUCCCAGAUGUAUGGAUGGGCCAGGGUCAUAAGAUAUCAGAGGAAUUGAGACAGAUUGACAUUAGGAAAGAAACUGUGAUGAGUAGACUGGUAGGACUGAAGGCUAAUAAAUCCCCGGGUCCAGAUGGUCUGCAUCUGAGGGUUCUAAAAGAGGUGGCUCAGGAAAUUGUGGAUGCAUUGGUAAUCAUUUUCCAAUGUUCCUUAGAUUCAGGAUCAGUUCCUGAAGAUUGGAGAGUGGCUAAUGUUAUCCCACUUUUAAAGAAGGGAGGGAAGGAGAAAACGGAGAACUAUCACCCUGUUAGCCUAAUGUCAGUCGUGGGGAAGAUGCUUGAGUCCAUUAUUAAGGAUGAAAUAGUGGCACAUCUUGAUGGCAGUAAUAGGAUUAGGCCGAGCCAGCAUGGAUUUACCAAGGGCAAAUCAUGCUUGACUAAUCUGUUGGAGUUUUUUGAGGGUGUAACAAGGAUGUUAGAAGAGGGUAAGCCAGUGGAUGUUGUGUACCUAGAUUUUCAGAAGGCAUUCGAUAAUGUGCCACAUAGGAGAUUGGUGAGUAAAAUCAGAGCUCAUGGCAUUGGGGGCAGGGUUUCAACAUGGAUAGAAAACUGGUUGGCAGAUAGAAAGCAAAGGGUAGCAGUGAAUGGGUGUUUCUCGGACUGGCUGGAGGUGACUAGUGGGGUACCACAGGGCUCUGUAUUGGGACCACAGCUCUUUACGAUUUAUGUCAAUGAUUUAGAUGAGGGCAUUGAAAACUAUAUCAGCAAGUUUGCUGACGAUACUAAACUGGGUGGCAGUGUGACAUGCGAAGAGGAUGUUAGGAGAAUACAGGGAGACUUGGAUAGGCUGGGUGAGUGGGCAGAUACUUGGCAGAUGUCAUUCAAUGUGAAUAAAUGUGAAGUUAUCCACUUUGGAAGCAGGAACAAGAGGGCAGAGUAUUGUCUGAACGGUGUCGAGUUAGGUAAGGGAGAAAUGCAAAGAGACCUAGGAGUCCUAGUUCACCAGUCAAUGAAGGUGAAUGAGCAAGUGCAACAGGCAGUGAAGAGGGCAAAUGGAAUGUUGGCCUUUGUUACAAGGGGAAUUGAGUACAAGAGCAAGGAUGUCCUUUUGCAUUUGUACAGGGCCCUGAUGAGACCACACCUGGAAUAUUGUGUACAGUUUUGGUCUCCAGGUUUAAGGAAGGACAUUCUGGCAAUUGAGGAAGUGCAGCGUAGAUUCACUAGGUUGAUUCCUGGGAUGGCAGGGCUGUCUUACACCGAGAGAUUGGAGAGAUUGGGCUUGUACACGCUGGAAUUGAGGAGAUUGAGAGGGGAUCUGAUUGAAACGUUUAAGAUAAUUAAAGGAUUUGAUAGGAUUGAGGCAGGAAAUAUGUUCCAGAUGUUGGGAGAGUCCAGUACCAGAGGGCAUGGAUUGAGAAUAAGAGGUCAGUUAUUUAAAACAGAGUUGAGGAAGAGCUUCUUCUCCCAGAGAGUUGUGGAGGUGUGGAAUGCACUCGGAAGAUGGUGGAGACCAAUUCUCUGGAUGCUUUCAAGAAGGAGCUAGAUAGAUAUCUGAUGGAUAGGGGAAUCAAGGGAUAUGGGGACAAGGCAGGGACUGGGUAUUGAUAGUGAAUGAUCAGCCAUGAUCUCAGAAUGGCGGUGCAGACUCGAGGGGCCGAAUGGUCUCCAUCUGCACCUAUUGUCUAUUGUCUAAAAGGUCACCCCUCAAUUUUGAGGCUGUGCCCUCUAGUUUUGGAUUCCCUCACCAUAGGGAACAUCCCCUCCACAUCCACCCUAUCUAGUCUUUUCAACAUUUGGUAGGUUUCAAUGAGAUCCCCCCGCAUUCUUCUAAAUUCCAGUGGGCACAGGCCCAAAGCUGCCAAACGUUCCUCAUAUGUUAACCCCUUCAUUCCUGGAAUCAUCCUUGUGAAUCUCCUGUGGACUCUCUCCAAUUACAACACAUCCUUUCUGAGAUAUGAGGCCCAAGACUGUUGACAAUACACCAAGUGCAGCCUGACUAGUGUCAUAUAAAGCCUCAGUAUUAUCUCCUUGAUAUACUAUUUCCCUUGAAAUAAAUGUCAACAUUGCAUUUGCCUCCUUUCUAUGAAAUAACCUUCUGGGAGUCCUGCACACGACUCCAAGUCCCUCUGCACUUGUGAUGUUUGAACAUUCUCUUCAUUUUGAUAAUAACCUGCACUAUUGUUCCUUUUACCAAAAUGCAUUAUUGUACAUUUCCCAACACUGUAUUCCAUCUGCCACUUUUUUGCCCAUUCUUCCAAUUUGUCUAAGCCCAGCUGCAAUCGCAUUGCUUCCUCAGAACUUCCUAAACUCCCCCACCUCUCUUUGUAUCAUCUGCAAACUUUGCCACAAAGCUAUCAAUUCCAUUAUCUAAGUCAUUGACAAACAAUGUGAGGUUCCAGUAUUGACCUCUGAGGAACACCUCUUGUCACUAGCAGCCAACCAGAAAAGGCUCCCUUUAUUCCCACUCACUGCUCCUGCCUGUCAGCCAUUCCUCUGUCCAUGCCAGUGUCUUUCCUGUAACACUAACAGGAUUUUAUCUUGUUAAGCAGCCUCACUUGACUUAUUUUAUCGUUAGUCUCCAAGUGUCCAGAAACUUCAUCCUUAAUAAUAGACUCCAACACUUUCCCAACCACUAAGGUUUGCCUAACUGGCCUAUUAUUUCCUUUAUUUUGUCUACCUCCCUUCUUAGAGAGUGGAGUGACAUUUUCAGUUUUUCAGUUCUCUGGGAGCAUGCCAGAAUCAAAUCAUUCUUAAAAGAUCAUGACCAAUGCAUCAGUAAUCUCUUCAGCUCCUCUCUCAUGUCUCAGUAAUUCCCUUUAUUCCAUUGCGAUACUGAUACAUGUGACUUGUGUUUCUUCCUUUCAAAUUGCAGUAUGAAUUCAAUCAUAUUUGAUCACUGCCUCGGGAGGUUUUCUUUGCGUUAAACUGACUAAUAAAAUCUGGGUUAUUACACAACACCAACCUCAGAUAGUCCUUCCCCCAGUAGGCUUGAGCACACUGCUCUAAAAAGCCAUCUCAAUGGCGUUCAACAAAUUCCCUCUUGCGAUCCAACCUGAUUUUCCCAAUCCCCUUGCAUAUUGAAGUCCCCUAUUACAAUUGUGACAUUAUCCUUGUUAUAUGCCCUUUCCAGCUCCAUUUGCAAUCUCAACCCCAGAUCUUGGCUACUAUUUGGAGAAACAUUAUGAUGCCCAUAAUGUUUUUUUUUAACCCUUGCAAUUUCUUAACUCCAUCCACAAAGAUUCGACAUUCUCGGACCCUAUGCCACCUUUUUCUAAAGAUGUAAUUCUAUUUCUCACCAAUAGAGCCGCACCGCCGCCUAGCCUUCCUGCCUGGCCUGGGUGGGGGGAUUCUGGAGGACUUGAAGGUAAUAUAAGAUUCCCACAGGUCCAAAACUGCAGUUGCUCACGAGAGUCAUGAAUGGGCGGCACCUUCGGCUGCCAAUUGGAAGAGGGCAUCGCUGAUUGACGUUCGUGUUUGUCGUCUGGGCGCUGGUGACUGGCUGCUGCAGUAGUCAUUCAACAGCUCUGCGGGGCUGAACAGCGCCGAGCGGUUCAAAGGGGGCUGUCGCUGAACCUGUCAGUGUCAGGUCGCUUCGCGUAGCUGAGCUGCUGAGAAACAGGAAAA